CCUGCAGGGGCGGAGGAGGGAGUUGCCAGCACUCAGAGACCUGCUUGUCAGGCCACUAGUUGCCCAAGACUAGAGGAAACCUGCCAGAGGGGGCCCUAAAGCAAACUCCUGCUUUCAGAAGGUCUGCCUUGGGCAGGCCUCUCUGGGCGUCUCUGGGUGGGCUUGUUUCAGGACACCUGAACUUUGACCUCAGCCCCUGAGAACAGAGAAAACGGAAGCAAGGAGAUCCUGGAAGAGAAACCUGGUGGGCUCCUGUUGACUUCUAUGGCCUCCUCUAGGGAGUGAAGAAAACACUCGUAGAAAGAAUGAAGAUGGGAGGAUGCCUCUCCACCAGAGGACUUUCAGGGCUAAGCACCAAACAUCCAACCAAGGAGUUGCAAAUACAAAUCACAUGGCCUGAGUGCUGGACCACUGAAACAGAUCACUGCCUCCCUCCACACCUCACUUCUAGUAUGGCAGAUCUGGAAUGGGCCUGGGACUUUGCAUAUCAAAUUCAUUAAAAGAUGCUCAUGCGCCA